rnacentral:rRNA from 1 species
GACGAACGCUGGCGGCGUGCCUAAUACAUGCAAGUAGAACGCUGAAGGAGGAGCUUGCUUCUCUGGAUGAGUUGCGAACGGGUGAGUAACGCGUAGGUAACCUGCCUGGUAGCGGGGGAUAACUAUUGGAAACGAUAGCUAAUACCGCAUAAGAGUAGAUGUUGCAUGACAUUUGCUUAAAAGGUGCAAUUGCAUCACUACCAGAUGGACCUGCGUUGUAUUAGCUAGUUGGUGGGGUAACGGCUCACCAAGGCGACGAUACAUAGCCGACCUGAGAGGGGGAUCGGCCACACUGGGACUGAGACACGGCCCAGACUCCUACGGGAGGCAGCAGUAGGGAAUCUUCGGCAAUGGACGGAAGUCUGACCGAGCAACGCCGCGUGAGUGAAGAAGGUUUUCGGAUCGUAAAGCUCUGUUGUAAGAGAAGAACGAGUGUGAGAGUGGAAAGUUCACACUGUGACGGUAUCUUAUCAGAAAGGGACGGCUAACUACGUG